CAGGGAAUAGUUUAUGUAGAAUUUCAGCUUUGGGUGCUGGCGGUGAGGUAUAGUACUUCUUCCUUGA
rnacentral:tRNA from 2 species